rnacentral:rRNA from 1 species
AUUGAACGCUGGCGGCAGGCUUAACACAUGCAAGUCGAGCGGAGAGAGGUAGCUUGCUACUGAUCUUAGCGGCGGACGGGUGAGUAAUGCUUAGGAAUCUGCCUAUUAGUGGGGGACAACAUUUCGAAAGGAAUGCUAAUACCGCAUACGUCCUACGGGAGAAAGCAGGGGAUCUUCGGACCUUGCGCUAAUAGAUGAGCCUAAGUCGGAUUAGCUAGUUGGUGGGGUAAAGGCCUACCAAGGCGACGAUCUGUAGCGGGUCUGAGAGGAUGAUCCGCCACACUGGGACUGAGACACGGCCCAGACUCCUACGGGAGGCAGCAGUGGGGAAUAUUGGACAAUGGAGGCAACUCUGAUCCAGCCAUGCCGCGUGUGUGAAGAAGGCCUUUUGGUUGUAAAGCACUUUAAGCGAGGAGGAGGCUUACCUGGUUAAUACCUGGGAUAAGUGGACGUUACUCGCAGAAUAAGCACCGGCUAACUCUGUGCCAGCAGCCGCGGUAAAAC